rnacentral:rRNA from 1 species
GACGAACGCUGGCGGCGUGCUUAACACAUGCAAGUCGAACGGGAUCCGGGCUUUCGGGUUUGGUGAGAGUGGCGAACGGGUGAGUAACACGUGAGUAACCUGCCCCCUUCUUUGGGAUAACGUCGGGAAAUCGGCGCUAAUACUGGAUAUUCUUGCUGCAUCGCAUGGUGUGGUUUGGAAAGGGUUUCUGGUGGGGGAUGGGCUCGCGGCCUAUCAGCUUGUUGGUGGGGUUAUGGCCUACCAAGGCUUUGACGGGUAGCCGGCCUGAGAGGGUGUCCGGCCACACUGGGACUGAGACACGGCCCAGACUCCUACGGGAGGCAGCAGUGGGGAAUAUUGCACAAUGGGCGCAAGCCUGAUGCAGCGACGCCGCGUGAGGGAUGACGGCCUUCGGGUUGUAAACCUCUUUCAGUAUGGAACAAGGAUCCUUCUUUUGGGGGGUUUGAGGGUACGUGCAGAAGAAGCGCCGGCUAACUACGUG